rnacentral:rRNA from 1 species
GCCAUGCAAGUCUCAGUAUAAGCCGAAUUAAGGUGAAACCGCGAAUGGCUCAAUAUAUCAGUUUUGGUUCCUUAGAUCGUACACAGUUACUUGGAUAACUGUGGCAAUUCUAGAGCUAAUACAUGCAAACGUAGUCCCGACCGGUGACGGAAGGGAUGCUUUUAUUAGAUCAAAAACCAAUCGGCGGCUCGUCCGUCGCAACCAAAGAUGACUCUAGAUAACUUUGAGCAGAUCGCACGGUCCUAGCACCGGCGACGUAUCUUUCAAAUGUCUGCCUUAUCAACUGUCGAUGGUAGUUUACGCGACUACCAUGGUUGUCACGGGUAACGGGGAAUCAGGGUUCGAUUCCGGAGAGGGAGCCUGAGAAACGGCUACCACAUCCACGGAAGGCAGCAGGCGCGCAAAUUACCCACUCCCGGCACGGGGAGGUAGUGACGAAAAAUAACGAUACGGGACUCUUAAGAGGCCUCGUGAUCGGAAUGAGAACACUUUAAAUCCUUUAGCGAGGAUCCAUUGGAGGGCAAGUCUGGUGCCAGCAGCCGCGGUAAUUCCAGCUCCAAUAGCAUAUACUAAAGUUGUUGCGGUUAAAAAGCUCGUAGUUGAAAUUGUGUUUUGCGGCGAUGGUCCACCGAUUGCGGUGCGAUCGUCGCGUCUGCGAGACUUCUCGUCGGUGCUUGUGUGUCGAUGCGAAUCGACACGCAAUCUCGACUGUUUACUUUGAACAAAUUAGAGUGCUCAAAGCGGGCUUACAUUUGCCUGAAUAUUGUGCGCAUGGAAUAAUAGAAUAGGACCUCGGUUCAAUUUUGUUGGCUUUCUGACACCAGAGGUAAUGAUUAAUAGGAACAACUGGGGGCAUUCGUAUUGCGACGUUAGAGGUGAAAUUCUUGGAUCGUCGCAAGACGGACUAAAGCGAAAGCAUUUGCCAAAGGUGUUUUCAUUAAUCAAGAACGAAAGUUAGAGGUUCGAAGGCGAUUAGAUACCGCUGUAGUUCUAACCAUAAAUGAUGCCAGCCAGCGAUCCGCCGAGGGUAUUUAUAUUGAUUCGGUGGGCAGCUCCCGGGAAACCAAAGCUUUCGGGCUCCGGGGGGAGUAUGGUUGCAAAGCUGAAACUUAAAGGAAUUGACGGAAGGGCACCACCAGGAGUGGAGCCUGCGGCUUAAUUCGACUCAACACGGGAAAACUCACCAGGCCCGGACACUGGAAGGAUUGACGGAUUAACAGCUCUUUCUCGAUUCGGUGGGUGGUGGUGCAUGGCCGCUCUUAGUUGGUGGAGCGAUUUGUCAGGUUAAUUCCGGUAACGAACGUAACUCACCGGCGGUAUAUAUAGCCGCACGAGAUUGAGCAAUAGCAGGUCUGUGAUGCCCUUAGAUGUCCUGGGCCGCACGCGCGCUACACUGAAAGGAUCAACGUGUCCUCCUUGACCUAACGGUUCGGGUAACCCGUUGAAACCCUUUCGUGACAGGGAUUGGGGUUUGCAAUUCUCCCCCAUGAACGAGGAAUUCCUAGUAAAAGCGGGUCACCAGCUCGCGUUGAUUGCGUCCCUGCCCUUUGUACACACCGCCCGUCGCUACUACCGAUGGAUGAUUUGGUGAGGUCUCCGGACUGGCGCGCGGAAGCCACUCGUGGCCUCCGACGCGCCGGGAAGUUUGACCGAAUUUGAUCAUUUAGAGGAAGUAAAAGUCGUAAC